GCCACAUUUCUUUCGUGGGUCCCCUCUUUUUCUCUGGAUGGUCAGUAGCGCUUGGGGGCGAGUGAGGGGCUAUUUCGGAUGUAACAAAUUUAAGGCGGGAUAGUUUUUUUUUUUUUUAACCAGUCCUCUGUUUUACCCUGAUUCUGUGUUCAAAAGAACAGAAAUUUUAUAACUGACUUUAGUGAAAGCAGAAAUGUUAAAGAAACUUCCCAGUGUGACCAUUUACGAGACUCCCUGGCAGCCACUUCCCAAUGUCGCCUUCACAUGGGCGGCUCAAGUGGCCCGAUGUGUCCUCGCUUAUCUCCUCACAAGCCCCACUCACGCAGACUGGAUUUCCCACAGCACUCUCAGAUGUCUUGUUUGUUGACGGUGCAGGACCUGGUCCUCCGAUACUACCGAGCUACCUGCAGCAGACGUAUUCCUCCACAAUAAAGCAAAAGAGUGGUUUUGAAAGUGUCCUGAAAACUCUAAUUUUUGCUUCAGCUGUGUUCAGUGGUGGAAAGAUCAGGAAAGGUCUAGACGGACCACAACUGAAGGUGAUGGAGCAGUCAGUGUAUUACAAAGCCAAUGAACAUGGAUGUCAAGACCCUGACUUAGGGUGAUGCUACAGAGUAACUCUCCAUGAAUUUUAUUGCUCUUGUGUCUCAUUGUUCCUCAACUAAACGCUGUCCCGAUAGAAUAGAGUCCUUUAGCUGCUAGAAUGCAUUAAUAUUCUGUGUUGGAAAGAGCCUACAAGGAUCAUUAGAGCCGGUUCUUAAGUGAAAGGUCCAUAUGAGCAUCAAACUCAUAACCUUGGUAUUUGCUAACACCACUCUCAAUCGCAAGUUGUUUGUUUUCAUCCUUUAUGAAGUCCUUGUGGAAUGACUUUCCAAUGAUUUUGAGAAAUGAAGACAUAAGAGACAGUCACAACACAGCUUUGACCCAACUGGCCAAGGAAUCAAAACAACUUUCACCGGUGUCCAAUAACCAAAUCACUUUCGGUAAACAAUCUCCAUAACACAUUCCACAUGUACAAAACAACAGGCACAGUGAAUAAAGGUCUAACAGCUUCCAAGAGAAUCUAGGCUAUCUACCUACAGAGGAAAGCCAGAAGGAGUCCCAGCUUGUAUCAUGCAUUAUAGGUGCCCUUCUUUCAUGUUCCCAUGCUUCUUUUAUUUUAACUGAAUUGAUUCAAAUCUGUGAUACCUUCAUGUUUUGAGCCUGUGGACCAUUGCAGCCUCUUCCUCUUUCACAGAGACACUGUGAACUUCCUAGAGGCACUCUGCCCCUCAGCUGAAGUUAAAUCAUGUUGCUACCAAGCAGUGUCUUCUGCAGCGCUUUGUGAAAAUCUUCUGCUCUCUUCCUCAGAAAUAACAGCUCUGUCCUGAACAAGAGAUUAACAAAAGGACAAAAAUGCUCCAGUAGAGGGAGCACCGUGAGUGCCAUAUGUUGAUUGUUCUUAAUGACAAUAGCUCAUUUCUUUUCCAGGCUGCUCUGGUCUACACAGAGACUCACCUGUACAGAUGUGCUACUCCUAGUAAAAGCUUUCUGCUUUUUAUAGGACACAUACUUCAUGCACCUGUGGUAGUCCUGUCCCUUCCUGGAAGCCCUGAAUAUUCUCUAUAAGGAUGAGUGGCUUAUGGCUGUUUCCUGUUGCUGAAAGCAUGUAUGAUGUCUGCUGUUGAAAAGGGUUGGAGGUUAGAGCUUCAAAAUAAACAGCACUUCUUCCCACUUUGAUUACUUCUUAAAACUCUAAUGUAUCCAUUUCAGAGAUUUACAUUCAUGACUGUCAUUAAAUGCCAGAAAUUUCCUGAUUAAUUGCCACAUUUAAGUAUUCUCUAGGUUUGCAUUACUCCUUGCCAUUUAAAGUUAUAUGUUUUCCUAUUUCUGAAACUUUGAUGUUUUGAUUGCUUGUAUUUUUUCUUGCAAAAGUAUCAAGAAUCCAAUAUGUUGUGUCAGUGGUGAGGUAUAGUAUCCAUGGCUUUAAUACAUUCCCAAAAGAUGAUUUUCAUGAGAUGGGAAACAAAGGGAAAAGAAAAAAGCAAACUAAAAAUAUAUUCUCUGACAUUUUCUUGUUUUGUCAAAAAAGAGCUUGUUUUAAGAACAAAAAAAAAAAUGCAACAGUCCUAUCAGUUACAGAAAUCUAUUUAUUUCCUCUAUGAAACUGUGGAAUGGUAACACAAUUUUCUGCUUAGAACUCUUUGGAUUAUUUACGGAGAGUUAAUUAAAUCUCAGAUACUUAGAUUCCUAGUAUUAUGCACACAAGAUUACACACAAGAUUACAUGCAAAUACUCUGAAGAUGCAGAAAGUAGAGUUCAUUAUGAAUUUUUUCUGUAAUCAUACAACAGAUAGUGGUCUUAAAAGACUAAUUGGUUUAACAGCUAACUGGUUUUCAAUAUAAAAGUGAGUUAGAAAUUUUUUCAAACACAGCUUACACUCAUGAAUCAAGUGUCAAGAACCACAAUUUACAGUUGGACCUUUAUCACACUUUACUCUUUGUCUUCAAAGACACGUUGAAUGAAAAAGAGAAAUUAAGAGUAGACCAUAUAGGGAUAAUAGCUGAAAAUAUGGAGAGUGCUUGUUGCUGAUAAUACUUCUAAUUAUUUUAAAAUAUUUGGAGUUAUCACCUGUCAACAGUGAAAUGCAAGAGACAAAAAAAAUUAAUUGGUAACAUUUUGUUGAGAAAUAAAAGUUUAGCAAAAGAGCCAGUGAAGUGUGUCAUAUCGAGCAAGAUGCAGCCAGAAAAUACAGCCUUAAAGAAAGCAGAAAAUUUCAUAAUAAGGCCUAUCUAGAGAAUACACCAAGACACAGAUAUACUGUAAAUAAUGGGUCAUAAGGAGGUAAACCAGCAAGAUUGCCUUACACAUUUGCAUUGUGUUCUUUCUCUAGAUGGUCAUAUUAUAGCAGAAAAGAGACCCUAUGUUGCAUAUAGGCAGAGAUAUUAUCAAUGAAAGCCUUAUAAAAUAUGGUUUAGGCCCUGCAACUCCAAUUAAGCUAGCAGUUAGAUUGCAACUUGAUGUGAAAGAUCAUAAGAAUGAAAACCAUUAGCACAACAAACCGUUCUGGUAAGAGAAUCAUUUGCACCUGUAAUAAACAAGAAAUCUGUCACAUGCAAAUCAGUAAACAAAAUAUGUCAAUUAACCAAAAAUAGAGAGAUUUGACAGAUGUACACCCUGGCCCUUUACUGACCAAUAAACUGAGUGUCAGUGUGUCAUUAGCCAGUUAGGUCUAACACAGUGCCUUCUGAUAUUUCAUAUAAAUAUGAGAUGUGUGAAUAAAGAAUGGGCUUUUCCUGCAUGAAGAAA